rnacentral:rRNA from 1 species
UACAGGUGGGAUUGCGUUAAUGAAUACUGAAUAGGCAUUAAGUGUGAUUAGGUGGCUAUAAAAUAGCAAGGUUCUAAAAGACCUUGCUACUAAAGAUGGCUAGAGUUUAAAGAGGAGAGUAUGAGGAAUAACCAGUGUAAGGAUGAAAUCUAUAAAUAUUGGUUAGAAGAUCAAUAGCGCUAGCAUCACUCUAUUUUUAAACUGACACUGAUUCACUAAAGUGUGGGUAGCAAAAUGG